AGCACUCUUGGUUUAUCCACUCACUGGUUGUUCCUAUAAUCUGGGACAGUAUGAAAAAAUGCUGCUGCAGAAGUCUGUCUAUAGGUUUUUACUUAGACCUAUGAUCAAUUCUUUACAAUGCCGGGGGACUAAGUCUAAUGCCUCCCUCACAUAUGCUAGCAAGCAGCCUUGCCACCAAACUAGUUGAAGUCAACUUUUAAAUCAUCUGAUAACUUACACAUGACCAUUUGACAACUCCUAUACUAUUUUCCAAAGCAGAUAAAACAUUCUCCAUAAACAGAAUUCCACUUCUUCCACAUUUUGAUGGAUUUUUAAAAAUUAGUCACUCUACUGAAUAUGAAGAAAAUCAACUGUUUAAGGAUAGGAUCAUAUGAACAAAAAUAGGGAACUGCAAUGGAUCAAAACACAUCUAAUACAUUACGUCCACAAGACCAUGAUAAUAUUGGAAAAACUUACUGGUCAAUUUUGGAGAAUCAACUCAGUAUUAUAUAACAAAAUAAUCAGAAGUAAUCAACCAUUUAAUUGCUUUCCCUAGGUUUUUUUUUUAUUUUCUAGGUUAACCAAGCAAUGAAAACUUCUUUUUACAAAAUUACAUCAGUUAAUAAAUGAAGUAUGAGAGAUACAAAA